rnacentral:rRNA from 1 species
CCUACGGGGUGCUGCAGUGAGGAAUAUUGGUCAAUGGGCGAGAGCCUGAACCAGCCAAGUCGCGUGAGGGAGUACUGCCCUAUGGGUUGUAAACCUCUUUUGUCGGGGAGCAAAAGCCGGACGUGUCCGGCUGUGAGAGUUCCCGAAGAAAAAGCAUCGGCUAACUCCGUGCCCGCAGCCGCGGUAAUACGGAGGAUUCGAGCGUUAUCCGGAUUUAUUUGGUUUAAAGGGUGCGAAGGCGGAUUGUUAAGUCAGCGGUAAAAUCGUGGGGCUCAACCCCAUCCAGCCGUUGAAACUGGGGAUCCAGAGUGUGCGAGAGGUAUGCGGAAUGCGUGGUGUAGCGGUGAAAUGCAUAGAUAUCACGCAGAACCCCGAUUGCGAAGGCAGCAUACCGGUGCACAACUGACGCUCAGGCACGAAAGCGUGGGUAUCGAACAGGAUUAGAUACCCCUGUAGUC